UACGUAGGGUGCGAGCGUUGUCCGGAAUUAUUGGGCGUAAAGGGCUCGUAGGCGGUUUGUCGCGUCGGGAGUGAAAACACUGGGCUUAACUCAGUGCUUGCUUCCGAUACGGGCAGACUUGAGUUCGGCAGGGGAGACUGGAAUUCCUGGUGUAGCGGUGAAAUGCGCAGAUAUCAGGAGGAACACCGGUGGCGAAGGCGGGUCUCUGGGCCGAUACUGACGCUGAUGCGCGAAAGCCAGGGGAGCGAAGCGGG
rnacentral:rRNA from 1 species